rnacentral:rRNA from 1 species
UGGGGAAUCUUCCGCAAUGGACGAAAGUCUGACGGAGCAACGCCGCGUGAGUGAUGACGGCCUUCGGGUUGUAAAGCUCUGUUAAUCGGGACGAAUGGUUCUUGUGCAAAUAGUGCGAGGAUUUGACGGUACCGGAAUAGAAAGCCACGGCUAACUACGUGCCAGCAGCCGCGGUAAUACGUAGGUGGCAAGCGUUGUCCGGAAUUAUUGGGCGUAAAGCGCGCGCAGGCGGAUUGGUCAGUCUGUCUUAAAAGUUCGGGGCUUAACCCCGUGAUGGGAUGGAAACUGCCAAUCUAGAGUAUCGGAGAGGAAAGUGGAAUUCCUAGUGUAGCGGUGAAAUGCGUAGAUAUUAGGAAGAACACCGGUGGCGAAAGCGGCUCUCUGGUCGAUAACUGACGCUGAGGCUCGAAAGCCAGGGGAGCGAACAGGAUUAGAUACCCCGGUAGUCCACGCCGUAAACGAUGAGUGCUAGGUGUUAGGUCCUUUCCGGGACUUAGUGCCGCAGCUAACGCAUUAAGCACUCCGCCUGGGGAGUACGACCGCAAGGUUG